UACGGGGGGAGCAAGCGUUGUUCGGAUUUACUGGGCGUAAAGGGCGCGUAGGCGGCCAGCACAAGUCAGUUGUGAAAUCUCAGAGCUUAACUCGGAAAGGUCAACUGAUACUGUGCGGCUAGAGUGCGGAAGGGGCAACUGGAAUUCUUGGUGUAGCGGUGAAAUGCGUAGAUAUCAAGAGGAACACCGGUGGCGAAGGCGGCUAUCUGGACAGAGUCUGACGCUGAUGCGCGAAAGCUAGGGGAGCAAACAGG
rnacentral:rRNA from 1 species